rnacentral:rRNA from 1 species
UACCGUGAAACUGCGAAUGGCUCAUUAAAUCAGUUAUCGUUUAUUUGAUAGUACCUUACCACUUGGAUAACCGUGGUAAUUCUAGAGCUAAUACAUGCUAAAAACCUCGACUUCGGAAGGGGUGUGUUUAUUAGAUAAAAAACCAAUGCCCUUCGGGGCUCUUUGGUGAUUCAUGAUAACCCAACGGAUCGCAUGGCCUUGCGCUGGCGACGGUUCAUUCAAAUUUCUGCCCUAUCAACUUUCGAUGGUAAGGUAUUGGCUUACCAUGGUUUCAACGGGUAACGGGGAAUUAGGGUUCGAUUCCGGAGAGGGAGCCUGAGAAACGGCUACCACAUCCAAGGAAGGCAGCAGGCGCGCAAAUUACCCAAUCCCGACACGGGGAGGUAGUGACAAUAAAUACUGAUACAGGGCUCUUUUGGGUCUUGUAAUUGGAAUGAGUACAAUUUAAACCCCUUAACGAGGAACAAUUGGAGGGCAAGUCUGGUGCCAGCAGCCGCGGUAAUUCCAGCUCCAAUAGCGUAUAUUAAAGUUGUUGCAGUUAAAAAGCUCGUAGUUGAAACUUGGGUCUGGCUAGCGGGUCCGCCUCACCGCGUGCACUUGUCCGGCUGGACCUUUCCUUCUGGAGAACCUCAUGCCCUUCACUGGGUGUGUUGGGGAACCAGGACUUUUACUUUGAAAAAAUUAGAGUGUUCAAAGCAGGCCUUUGCUCGAAUACGUUAGCAUGGAAUAAUAGAAUAGGACGUGCGGUCCUAUUUUGUUGGUUUCUAGGAUCGCCGUAAUGAUUAAUAGGGAUAGUCGGGGGCAUCAGUAUUCAAUUGUCAGAGGUGAAAUUCUUGGAUUUAUUGAAGACUAACUACUGCGAAAGCAUUUGCCAAGGAUGUUUUCAUUAAUCAGUGAACGAAAGUUGGGGGAUCGAAGACGAUCAGAUACCGUCGUAGUCUCAACCGUAACUAUG